UACGUAGGGGGCAAGCGUUAUCCGGAUUCACUGGGUGUAAAGGGAGCGUAGACGGCCAUGCAAGCCUGGAGUGAAAGCCCGGGGCCCAACCCCGGGACUGCUCUGGGAACUGUGCGGCAGGAGUGCGGGAGGGGCAGGCGGAAUUCCUGGUGUAGCGGUGAAAUGCGUAGAUAUCAGGAGGAACACCGGCGGCGAAGGCGGCCUGCUGGACCGCGACUGACGUUGAGGCUCGAAAGCGUGGGGAGCAAACAGG
rnacentral:rRNA from 1 species